AACGUUUAAAAAAAUGAAACAAAGUUGUCAUAAAGUUCAAGGAUAUGAAGGCAUUUUUCUUCAUGAGACAGCCAUUGUUCUACCUGCCACCAUUUAACGACAAGACGAUCACAAAUAUUUCCUCAAAGCUUCACUGUUGAAAGAAAGCAGAUACUAAACUAACCGGUUUUCAUGUUGUAUUGUGAAUUACUUUUCUGAUACAGCUCAAAUAUUUAGUUUAAACGAUAGCUCAUUAAUCAUUCUGUUAAUUUCAAUAGAAAAAACUUAGCAAAAGUUGAACAUGUCCAACUUUUAAAAAACUUAUAAAAUUGAAAGACAGUUGUAUAUCUUUCCUGUUUACACGUUGAAAGACACAAACGCAAAAGACAAAUUAUUUUGAAGAUGUUGAUUGCUGAUUCAAAUAAAAGAAAAAAUAAAGAAGAAAAAAGAACGAAAACUUCCAAGAUACUUGACGUGAUCUACGAAAGGCGUUCAGUCACAAUUAUGUCAAAGCGACGAGUUCGAAAAAGUGGUAAAAAGUCGCGAACAGUUGUAAAAAUAUAACAAAGAAUAUAAAAAUUAUAAUGUUUUUUCCUCUCAUUAAAAAUUAAUGCUGUGUUUCCUUUAAUCGAAUACGGCAUUCUUUUAUCCCUUCCCUUCAUAGUUUCGAAUAGCAAGAAACGUAUCUGUGAUCACCUUUUACCACCUUGUAUUUAAACAUAGAAGAUUUUCUUCAAUAUGGCCAAUAUUCCGGGGGGCGAUUAACAGAUACUUCUAUUAGGAGAAGACUGAACGAAUUUUUUAGCUGUUUUUUUGACAAUGUAUAUUUUAUUUUUGUAUAUGGUGGGAUGGAAUUUGGAUAUCAGAAUGUAGUAUUUAAAGGGGUAUAAAAGUGCCACAGGUGGCUUGCGAUAACAGUGACAGGGGGUGGACAGUAAUUUAAAAAUAACGAGUUACAAAAACACUUACAACGCUUCAACACGUGUCACCUUUUUUUUCAAAUAAAAAACAUCUUGCAGGUGCAUCAAAUCUGUUCAGCGCAGAUAAAAUAAUGUUAUCCUUUUGCGCAAAACGUUUUAUGAGCUAAUAUCCCAUCAGACAGCAGUCCAUGUCUAUUUCGGACUAUUCCAGCGAAAAAACGGGUUAACGUGCUAAUAACAAUAAUAAAAUGUCCGGAAAAAUAACCACAUGACAAACGGCAGCCGUAUAUUUUUUGAACUCACCAACUCGCAACUCGCGACUGGCAUACUCAUUAACUCACCGACUCGAAGGUUAUCUAUACUCUUUUAGAAAGCAUUUGAAAUUAACGUUAAUUUAAGAUGCUUUCUUAAAAAUCAUGCUUUUUUCUUUCGCUUUUGUCUUAGCCUAGAAGUGAUGUGGCCAUAGAGUGAAGAGAGAAAUGUUUUUAUAGAAUGAUGUACUCAAGAUCCUAAGGAAGAUUUUGUUAACAUUGUAAGACCGUGUAAAUAAAUAUCUAACAGACAAACUUUAUUUUUAUUUAUUACGUUAUCUCUUAAGGACUGUGAUGGUAGUUUUUGUUAGCU